rnacentral:rRNA from 1 species
UAUGGGAAUAAAGUGCAGUAUGUAUACUGCUUUGCAUGUACCUUAUGAAUAAGGAUCGGCUAACUCCGUGCCAGCAGCCGCGGUAAUACGGAGGAUCCGAGCGUUAUCCGGAUUUAUUGGGUUUAAAGGGAGCGUAGGCGGGUUGUUAAGUCAGUUGUGAAAGUUUGCGGCUCAACCGUAAAAUUGCAGUUGAUACUGGCAUCCUUGAGUACAGUAGAGGUAGGCGGAAUUCGUGGUGUAGCGGUGAAAUGCUUAGAUAUCACGAAGAACUCCGAUUGCGAAGGCAGCCUGCUGGACUGUAACUGACGCUGAUGCUCGAAAGUGUGGGUAUCAAACAGGAUUAGAUACCCUGGUAGUCCACACAGUAAACGAUGA